UCCCGCCCCCGGCGAAGGGGGGUCCGGGCUGCUCUCGGGGACGGCGGCCGGCAGGGAUCGUGAUUGUUCGCGGGCCCGCUUCGCUGAUUGGGGGAUGGCGCCUGCAGGGGCCUUGGGACACCCCCGCGAGCUCCCCUGGCUCGGUGCUAACCGGUUAUUUCCUCCUGUUCCUGCAGCUCCGCAAGCAGCGCGCUCCUGGCCCACGAGCUUUGCAAGCAGCGCAUGCCUGCCCACAAGCUUCAGAUGCUAUGUUGCAUCAGUUGAAAAGGUAAAAUGAAGAAGCGGCUGGAUAACAGGGCUCACUCUUUCAGGUUUUAUAUUUGAGUUCUCUUUUGGAUCCAUUUUCCAGCAGGGUCCCUGCAUUUCCUCUUCACAUUCCUGCCCUGGUCUCCUGUUUUUUUGAGUGGAUAGUAUCUUUUAUUCCCUUUUCUAUUUCAAUUGUAAUUUCUCAAUCUAUUAAAUGAAAUCUGAGUUUAAUACAAAGUAUGUUAAGCCCUAAAUUUAAAAUAAUCUCAAACAUUUUAAUAAAUGUACUGAAUCCAUAAGUUUCUGUCA
rnacentral:lncRNA from 1 species